rnacentral:tRNA from 1 species
GAAUCUGUGGCUCAGUUGGUAGAGCAUGGUGUUUGCAAUGCCAGGGUUGUGGGUUCGAUUCCCACGGGGGCCA